rnacentral:rRNA from 1 species
UGGGGAAUUUUGGACAAUGGGCGCAAGCCUGAUCCAGCCAUGCCGCGUGCGGGAAGAAGGCCUUCGGGUUGUAAACCGCCUUUGUCAGGGAAGAAAUCUUCUGAGUUAAUACCUCGGGAGGAUGACGGUACCUGAAGAAUAAGCACCGGCUAACUACGUGCCAGCAGCCGCGGUAAUACGUAGGGUGCAAGCGUUAAUCGGAAUUACUGGGCGUAAAGCGUGCGCAGGCGGUUUUGUAAGACAGAGGUGAAAUCCCCGGGCUCAACCUGGGAACUGCCUUUGUGACUGCAAGGCUUGAGUGCGGCAGAGGGGGAUGGAAUUCCGCGUGUAGCAGUGAAAUGCGUAGAUAUGCGGAGGAACACCGAUGGCGAAGGCAAUCCCCUGGGCCUGCACUGACGCUCAUGCACGAAAGCGUGGGGAGCAAACAGGAUUAGAUACCCUGGUAGUCCACGCCCUAAACGAUGUCAACUGGUUGUUGGGAAGGUUCCUUCUCAGUAACGUAGCUAACGCGUGAAGUUGACCGCCUGGGGAGUACGGCCGCAAGGUUGAAAC